UUUUGUACACAAGAAAAUUCACCUCUCUCGUCAGGCAGUCGUUUCCUGGAAAAACCACAGUAACUUUCUGUAAAUGAACCAGAGUAAAUGGAUUCUUGCAGAGGAAGGAGUGAAGAGGAGCUCGUGGGAAUGGAUAGCUUAUCUCGAUGAAGAAGGCCGCCUAUCAGGGCUCUCCUCAAAAACCACAGCAGCAAACUAACAGGAUUCACAGAGGCCAGGAUAAAAUGCCGUGGCCAAAGACCCUUCACAAAAGCCCCCAUAAUACAGCAAAGGCCAAGCUUUGGGGUUCUGUGCCUUCUGCAUGAUGGCCAGAUACCAGAUACUGGAAGCUCUCUCCAUGUCCUGCUGCCUAAACAGCAGACUGAUGGACGUGUCUUGAAGGCAAAAUAGGCAAUAGAAAGGAGCAAGUGAGACCUGGGUUUGGGGGAUGGAACUUCCUGUCUGAACCACUGAGGCUCCCAGCGGAGUGCUAGCUUCCCUUGGAAGGACUUCCUCCCCCACCCCCAUACCCCAGGUUUGGAGUGAAUUGGACAUUGCCAUGAAGAACUGCAUUCCACAUAAAAAUGGUCAGAUGGCAAGAUUCUGAAGGGAUUGAGACCACCCACCCAGAACAGAUGCUUGCUCCAACGCAACUAAAGUGGACUGUGUGUCUUGGACGUGGAAAUGACAUGAUAAGCGUACUUUUUAAGAUGUAGAAGCACUCUGAUGAUAAUCCUUCAGAACCAGAAAAGGCCUUGACACAUAUUGGAUGCUUUACCAACGUCAUUAGUGUCACCUUCAAAUGUAAAGCGUGACUUUUCAGGAGCUCGCUGCUACCGCCCACCUACUGACAGAUGCCCUUCAAUUUUCAAAUAAAUCUAGCAGUUACCACACUUCAACGUAAUGCCGACUCACCUGUUCCCCGAACUGCAUGGUUUCAUCCCCAUUUCAUGUACUUGGAAUCCCUGCUGAAUCCUCAUAAACCACUUGAUGGAAAACAGAAACAAUCGACUUUGCUGAUUGCUGAAGACUUUAGACAUCACCAAACAACCUCACUACUCCAUAUUUUUAUUGUGGUUUCUGUAUUUAUGAGAAUAUCCACCUGCUUUUAUUGUCCAUCGUUCAUGCUGUGAUAAGUCAUUGUCACACCUGAAUUCGUCCAAAAAAUUGUUUCCUGGAUGGAGAGUCAUGGACUGUUUGGGUUCGCCCCUUGAUAAACCUGUAACUACUACUUCUACAUAGCUUUGCUGAAGUCCUCUGCUGCUGCAUCCAUUCUCCUCUCCAGUAGCAGGUCGCUUCCUAUCACCCAAGGCAGCUUUCCAUGUGGAUUGCUUGUAAUCAUCAGUGCUGCACACCCCUCAUCCUCCUUGCCCCCUCCGUCUCCCCCUCCACCCCCCACCCUCAGCCUGCCAGUCCACUGGGCUCAAACUGCUGCCUCUUUUUGGAUGUGCAGAAAGAAAUGUAGCUACACACUGCAUUUCCUUAGCCUCAGCUAAUUGUGAUUUUAGAACCUUGGAAAUAAUCACAAAACAUUCUUCAAAAUAAAUUAGCAUCCAGGUCACCCUUCAA